GCACAACGCGAAGAACCUUACCAGGGCUUGACAUUGAGUGAAAGGCUAAGAGAUUAGUCCCUCCCUUCGGGGACACAAAAACAGGUGGUGCAUGGCUGUCGUCAGCUCGUGUCGUGAGAUGUUGGGUUAAGUCCCGCAACGAGCGCAACCCUUAUCCUUUGUUGCCAGCACGUUAAGGUGGGAACUCAAGGGAGACUGCCGCAGACAAUGCGGAGGAAGGCGGGGAUGACGUCAAGUCAUCAUGCCCCUUAUGUCCUGGGCUACACACGUACUACAAUGGGCUUAAACAAAGUGAAGCAAGACCGCGAGGUUGAGCCAAACACAUAAACAAGCUCUCAGUUCGGAUCGGAGGCUGCAACUCGCCUCCGUGAAGUCGGAAUCGCUAGUAAUCGCAGGUCAGCAUACUGCGGUGAAUACGUUCCCGGGUCUUGUACACACCG
rnacentral:rRNA from 1 species